UGGGUGAGCCAAGCCUCGGAACUGCAGGCUCCUGUAACAGGGACAUCUUUCUGAGCCUCUGGAGUUUAAAGCACCUUAGGAGAGCCAACUGAGGUGAAGGAGUGAUGCCAAAUAGAGAAAUCAAAGUGGAGGAGUGGUUUGCCAAAUCCCUUGUGGUGGCCAGAAAGGAUGACACCAGGGCAGGGGUGAGGACAAGAGAUUCUUUAGGCUUGAGAGUCCCUUGGACUGCAAGGGGAUCCAACCAGUCCAUCCUAAAGGAGAUCAAUUCUGGGUGUUCAUUGGAAGGACUGAUGCUGAAGCUGAAACUCCAGUACUUUGGCCACCUCAUGUGAAGAGUUAACUCAUUGGAAAAGACCCUGAUGGUGGGAGGGAUUGGGGGCAGGAGGAGAAGGGGAUGACAGAGGAUGAGAUGGCUGGAUGGCAUCACCGACUCGAUGGGCAUGAGUUUGAGUAAACUCCGAGAGUUUGUGAUGGACAGGGAAGCCUGGCGUGCUGCGAUUCAUGGGGUCGCAAAGAGUCAGACACGACAGACUGACUGAACUAAACUGAACUGAACUGAACAUGUAGAAUUUUGUAUAUAUGAAUAAUGAUAGCUAUAUUUCUUCCUUUCUGAAUUUUGUAUCUUUUAUUUCUUUUUCUCCUGUUGUGCUCACUGCAUCUUUCAGUAUAAUUUUGAAUAGAUAUAUUAAGAAAUAUCCUUCCUUUGGUCUUGAUAGUAGGGAGAACUCUUUAUCAUAUUGAAAAAUAUCCCUUCUAUUCUUAGUUGGCAAAGAGAUUAUUUUUAGGAUUGUGCAUGAAAAUUAGCAAAUGCAUUUUCUGCAUUUAUUGAGAUCAUUAUAUGAUAUUCUUUUCUUCUUUAUUCUGGCAAUUCUGGUAUAUUAGAUUAAUUUUGAGUGUUAAACCAAUCUUGCGUUUCUUGGAUAAUCCACUUAGUAAUGAUGAUGUUCUGUCUCUUUAAAUUUGUUUAUAGUUUGCUAAGAAGUAUUGCAUCUGUGUUUGUAUGAAAUGUUAGUUAAUGAUGUCCUUUUAAUGUCCUUAUUUGGUUAUGGUAUUAGCAUUAAGACGGGUUCAUCAAAAGAACUGCAAUGUACUCCCUUCUUUUCUAUUUUCUCAAGGAAUUUG